AAUUACGAAUUAAUCACAAAUAUAUAAUUAAAAAAAAAUCAUUCCUCUCUUCCUGCACACACAUUGUUUAAUUUCAUUAAAUUUUUUCUGUAAUUAGUAACAGACACAAACCCAUUUUGUAGAAUUAAACAUCCAUAUGUCCUUUUGGUGUAAUUUCACUUCAGGAUAAUUCCUGGGUCAGAAUUUAGUGUUCAUUUCUUGAAAUUCCACUUGGGUAUCUUGAAUUUUGAAGUUAUUUUUCGAAAGAGAUCUUGAAGGAGGAUUAUGAAACGGGAUAAAAUGGCGAAAAGAUCCUCUUUUGGAAACAUUGUGAGGAGUCUUUCAAAUAUUACUAAUUCUUUGCUAAAUCUCAAAUCUCAUGCGACUGUGAAGAAGUUGCCCUCAGAUUCUGCUUCUGGCAAAGAUUUCAUUGACCAACUUGGAAAACGUUGGAUUAUUGAAACUUGUUCGAGACAAAAAGUACUUUUUUUUAAUUUCUUACUGUCAGUGUGUUACCUUGAAUUGUAUAUUUGGUAUGCAGGGCGUCUGAAGAAGUUAGACAGUAUGAACAGAAUAAUAUAUAAAAUAUUAGCCUAUGGUUUGUUCAAUGAGAAUUGAAUUUUUUUUUUUUUUUUGAUCUUUAGAAAAAAAUGGGUCCUAUAUGUAAGUGCAAAAGUAAAAAAUGAUGGUUGAAAUAGUGGAAUAUCUGUUAAAAAAUUAAUUUUUUGGGGUGAAAAAUUACUACCCAACGGGCUUUUAAUCCUGCGGUAUCCAAUCCAUGCUGCCCACAAGUUUCUCAGAUUUUUUUUUUUUUUUUCAACAGUAAAAUCAUAGAGCUAUUAAAGAUUCAAAAUUUGAGAGAGAUGUUCAGAAGAUGUAGUUGCAGAACUGGAAUCUCGUACAAUCAAAUAGUUAUAUGUCUCGGAACUUAAUUUGAGUAAAGAAAGUAUAAGCUUGACACUCAGAAUUCGAGAAUUGCAUCUUAUUUGUAGAGUGGACCUGGCUUUAAGCAUGCGGUUUCCUUUGUUUUUAACUUACUAUUUAUUUACCAUUGGUGAAGUCACUGUGUGUCUCGACCAGGGCUAGAGGGAUUUUUUGCCAUUAGUGAGUGAUUGUGUGAAGGAAGAAGAUGAAUGAUUUUUGUUUUUUUAGUUUUGAUUUUUAAUUACAUAUUUGUGAUUAAUUUGUAAUUUUUUG